GUUGCGCCGACACCUCCUCCCCUUCUCUCACGGCCUCUAAGAUCAUCCACAAAUCCUCCCUCUUCCCUAAUCUCCUUCCUUUUGCCUCUCAAUCACGAAUCAGGAUCCAUGGAGGUGCCCGACAAGUGCUACUCGAUCUGCUAUACGGCAGCGGCGGGGAACACCGGCCGUCGGUCUGCCUCUCGCUGCUCAUCCUCCGGGAGGCUGCGCGCGGAUGGAACUCGUUGUUGGCGAGGUUCCGCGGAGUACCAAGCAGGUGCUCUUCGCCGGCGGGGACGAGCAUGACCUUCUCUUCCCCGACCUCUUCACCCCCAAGGGCACCGGCCCCAAGAAGAUCCCUAGGUUGCCCUACAAGAACCUAGAGUGGCGGCUGCGAGGAGGUGGCCGAUGGGGUUCGGCGACCGGACGGGGGCAUGGGCGUCGGUCUUCCUCCUCCUGCUCCCUGUCGCAGGCACGGCCACCAUCGACCAGAUCUUCACCACAACCCCUCGCACCACCUUGCCGCCGCUGUGUCCUCUAGGACUGAGCUGUGGGAGGAGUGCCUACGGAAGGCCACAGAGCACAGGCCAUCGCCCACGCCCUCUUCUCACUGCUGACCACCAAGUAUAUGAGGCACGCCUGGUGGUGUCAAGUACUUUGGCGAGCUGGAGGAACAUUGCUUUCUAGGGCAAUGAAGUGAAGCUCUACGAACACCAUGUGGAUAAGCUCUUCACAAUGUUUGGACACAAAGAGCCAAAGAUCGACUAUUAUGUCUGCACCAUCAACAAGACGUUUGGCAAACCAGGCC